GUACCCCAAACCGACACAGGUGGUCGGGUAGAGAAUACCAAGGCGCUUGAGAGAACUCGGGUGAAGGAACUAGGCAAAAUAGAACCGUAACUUCGGGAGAAGGUUCGCUCUUGACAGUGAAGUCCCUUGCGGAUGGAGCAGUUGGGAGUCGCAGUGACCAGAUGGCUGGGACUGUUUAUCAAAAACACAGCACUCUGCAAACACGAAAGUGGACGUAUAGGGUGUGACACCUGCCCGGUGCCGGAAGGUUAAUUG
rnacentral:rRNA from 1 species